AAGUCUGGUGCCAGCAGCCGCGGUAAUUCCAGCUCCAAUAGCGUAUAUUAAAGUUGUUGCAGUUAAAAAGCUCGUAGUUGAAUUUCGGGGUUAGUAGGUUGGUCAUGCCUCUGGUAUGUACUGGUCUCACUGAUUCCUCCUUCCUGAUGAACCGUAAUGCCAUUAAUUUGGUGUUGCGGGGAAUUUGGACUGUUACUUUGAAAAAAUUAGAGUGCUUAAAGCAAGCUAACGCUUGAAUACAUUAGCAUGGAAUAAUGAAAUAGGACGUUCGAUCUUAUUUUGUUGGUUUCUAGGAUUGACGUAAUGAUUAAUAGGGAUAGUUGGGGGCAUUAGUAUUCAAUUGUCAGAGGUGAAAUUCUUGGAUUUAUUGAAGACUAACUACUGCGAAAGCAUUUGCCAAGGAUGUUUUCAUUAAUCAAGAACGAAAGUUAGGGGAUCGAAGACGAUCAGAUACCGUCGUAGUCUUAACCAUAAACUAUGCCGACUAGGGAUCGGAUGAUGUUAAUUUUUUAAUGACUCAUUCGGCGCCUUACGGGAAACCAAAGUGUUUGGGU
rnacentral:rRNA from 1 species